rnacentral:lncRNA from 1 species
CGGAUUACAUUUUAAACAUCCGGUUGUUCUAGUGUAUCAUGAGUACAUGAAAAUAUGUAUUAAUUUCUCCCUAUUAUUUAUUUUGUAACAGUGAUUGAUGAUGUAAUAGAUAAGAAGGAACCAGAAGUGAAAUGGUACCCUUCUGUGGUACACGAAGACAACCAUAAGCACCACAAUGAGCACCUACCCACCACUGCAAACUGUGAGGAGUCAAUUCUUGGUAUGUUAUUAAUGUAAAAAGAAUUUAAAAAAAACCAUCAACAGACAAUAAGAAAAAAGACGUGGUAUGGUUGCUUAUCAGACAA